CGAAGAGUCGCAGUCGACUACGAGUCGUUGGAGCGUUUCACUUCGCAAACUCUGAUGGCACAGCGAAAGCGAGAACGUGACAUGUCGUCGCUCGCGUCGCCGGGGCCAGUCGUCGAGGCGCGCGCGUGGUGCCUCAAACCAUCGUUCUCGGGUCGAGUCCGCUCUUUCGCGAUCACGUUUCCGCGCGUCGUCGCGUUCCCACUCCGACUCAGGUGUAGCAGGCGGCCGGGGACCCGAAAGAUGGCGAUCCACGCCCAGUCGUGACAAAACCAGAGGAAACUCUGGUGGAAGUCCGAAGCGCCUCUGACAUGCAAAUCAAUCGUCAGAACUGGGUGUAGGGGCGAAAGACCAAUGGAGCCGUCUAGUAGCUGGUUCCCUCCGAAGUUUCCCUCAGAAAAGCUGACUGCAGGAGAACGACACGCAAUUCCGUCUGGUAAAGCGAACGACUGAAGGCCCUGGGGACGCUUUUGGCUUCGAUCUACUCUCGAACUCGGAACGGGCGAAACGGGCCGCCCUUCUCCCGAUCAGAGGCGGCCGUAUGUAUCGCAGCCAUUGCGACGCGACGAAUGAUCGAAGAAUAAUCACUCAAUUGAUUACCUUGAAAUUUUACAAUAAAUACAUUCCGACCUCUAAACCAUAGAAUUGUGGUCUCGCUUCAGCUUUUCUGAUUUUUCUACCACUUACCAUAACUUUUGAUUCUCUGAUGCUAUAUUAUUGUAGAUGGCAUAUUUCG
rnacentral:ncRNA from 1 species